UGGAUAAUGACCCUCAGAGUAAUCCUGGC
rnacentral:piRNA from 1 species